rnacentral:rRNA from 1 species
UACGAAGGGGGGCUAGCGUUGCUCGGAAUCACUGGGCGUAAAGGGUGCGUAGGCGGGUCUUUAAGUCAGGGGUGAAAUCCUGGAGCUCAACUCCAGAACUGCCUUUGAUACUGAGGAUCUUGAGUUCGGGGAGAGGUGAGUGGAACUGCGAGUGUAGAGGUGAAAUUCGUAGAUAUUCGCAAGAACACCCAGUGGCGAAGGCGGCUCACUGGCCCGAUACUGACGCUGAGGCACGAAAGCGUGGGGAGC